AAAACACUUCGUUAAAAUCUAUCUUUUAAGAAAACUCUUCGACUUAGCCUUCCGGGUCAGCACCGGCUUGACUUUACCUGGCUCUGAUACCAUUUGUCACACCCGUCUCCCUCAACAUUGAGACGACGUGCUUUUACCUUACUUAUAUUUUCCUCUAUUCCACUUUCUUAAUUCAAAUAUAAACUUUUCUUAAAAAGAAUCUUAAAUCAUUGAAAACUCUGUAAUAAGUCGUAAAAUAAAAUAGCAAAUAAAGAAAAUAAACCGAGAUUCCCAAAAUACACCAUAAGCGAGACGGACUUGAGCGACUACACACGAUUCUCAUCAUGACCUGAGAAAAAAGGGGUGAGUAAUGAAUUACUCAGUGAGAGGAUCUUUUCCGUCCACUUGAAAUACGAUACACGAUUGUACUUUCAAACCAUACUCAACAAUCACAUAGAAAAUGGGUUGGUCAAAUUUUUCACCCUCUACUAUUUACAAUCUCAAUAUUCCCCCCUGAACUUUUGGCUCCUUGAAAUAUCACCAUCAACUAAUAUAUUCUCAAAAUAACUAAAUGUACUUUUGGAUUCAUGUGAAAUACUACGCCUCCAAUUGAACUAGUGAUUAAACCGGGAUUAACCAUAAACCCGCGUUCGUUGUACCGCGAUUGCGAUUAAUCCAAGUAAUCACCCAUGACCCGAUUGAGAAACGACAUCGUUUUCUCAUUUUUUCAACUCUUCGAAACAUAAGGAAAACGACGUCGCUUCAUCCACCCAUUUGAACAAGUGCGACUCAUUUUCCCUCUAACAUAACAUAAUUUCCAAUCAACAUUAACUCGUUUAAUCAACAAUUUUAACCAAUCAAAAUGCAUACUUGUAAUGCAAUAGCGCAUUUGUAAAAUCUACGGUAUGGAUUAUCCUUUGUCUUUGAUGUAAAUGUGAUUAUCUCUUCCCCACACCAGCAUUUCGAGGGCACACCAAUGAGACAAAGACGACGCCCAGAGCUGGAAGCACUUGAGUAGCUCGUGGUGCUCAUUUUUUUAGAUUUGGUAACUGAAGAACUCUAAACCCCCAAAAUUCGAUUUUCCCCUUCCUCUCUCAAGAACCCUAAUUUUGGUCUGCAACAAUGACUUUAUCGAUUCGAAUCGAUUUGUUUAGAAAAUAAGAGAGAAAACAACGUCGUUUCUCAGUCGAGUCAUGGAUGAUUAUUCGGAUUACUCGCAAUCACGGUACAGUAAAGGCGGAUUUAUGGUUAAUCCCGGUUUAAUCACUGGUUCAAUUGGAGGCAUAGUAUUUCACAUGAAUCCAAAAGUACAUGUAGGUAUUUUGAGAAUAUAUUAGUUGAUGGUGAUAUUUCAAGGAGCCAAAUGUUCAGGGGAGAAUGUUGAGAUUGUAAAUAGUAGAGGGUGGAAAAUUCGGCCAACCCAUAGAAAAUAGACACCACACUCAUAUAGUUUGCAUCACUAUAUAAAACUAUAACACACAACUCAUUCUUGCUUAAGCAAGAUCUCCACAUCAUUUCCAGGUUCGAUCAUUUCCCUCACCUUUGAACCUAUCUAGUUCCACUGGACUCGUUAGUCUUUUAUUGAGCUACAAAGAACCCGUCAAUUCAAUGUAGACCAUUUUCCACUGUUCCACUUUUCAUCAUCUCAAAAGAUGUUGAUUCCACGUUCUCAUAUAACACAUAUAAUUAACUGUUAUCACAAGUACAAUAAUUCAAUCAUCCUAUAUUUCUAGAACAAUCAUCUUAUCAUCAAUCCUAAUUAACAAUUCAUUAUUACUAAGCAAACAGAUCUAUUCCUAUGCAAUGAAUCAUGAAGCAUAAA
rnacentral:sRNA from 1 species